CUUCUGGGUCCUCAUUGUAAAUUCUUAGUAGAAUCUGCUUGGUUCAGCUUGGAUCAUAUUUGUUCCUUGAGCCAUUCACCUGUAGCCAGGAAGGUUAGGAUCAUAUAGUGAUAUCAGAGUUGCAGAGACCCACCCCUUUGGGUUUUCAGAGAAGGAGAUCAUGAAGGACCCAAGAGGCUAUGAAAUUUGGUUGUGGAAAGCUCUUCCUGAAGGCAAUGCUGUUGGGGAAUGGGGGGCAUCUAGCAGGACCAGAGACAGAUGAAUUUGGGGCUGUUGCACCUAGGCAAAAAAAUAGGCUCCUGCACUAAGUAGUGACUAUUGGAUGGAGAGCUGAAGAAGGAAAAAUUAGGAGGGAGAACCAACCAACUACCUUUGGUGACUGAUUUGAUGGGGGAGAUGAGACUGGGUUUAGGUAAGAGGACAGGAAAACUGGUUAACAAGAUGGUGAUUUUGAGGUGCCUGUGGAACAACUAAGAAGAUGUGUCCCAUGGGCAGUUGUGGGCAGUUAGAGCUUAAAAGAGUGAUCUGGGUCGGAGUGAGGUGGUGGUUCCAGCUGGGAAUGAGGAUAAGAUAAUCAGGGAGAAUGUGUGGAGUGAGAAGCCAGAACCCAGGGAGGGCUACUAAUGGAUAAGGGGCAGUCAAUUAGGAGUCUGAACAGGUGUGAUUGAAGAGUUGAGAACUAGCAUGGAGUGCUGUCAUGGAAAUCAGCAGAGAGUAUUGUCAGGAAAGUUGACGGGAAAUGCUGCAGACAGAUCCAAUGACACAGAGCCUGGAGAGAAUCUUUUCAACCUAGCAGCAAGGCUCCUCUGUCCAUGGGGAUUCUCCAGGCAAGAAUACUGGAAUGGGUUGCCAUGCCCUCCUCCUGGGGAUCUUCCCAACCCAGGGAUCGAACCCAGGUCUCCCACACUGCAGGUGAUUCUUCACCAUCUGAGCCACCAGGGAAGCCCAGUAUGAACUCUCUGCCAUGUGAAUUGGAGACAUAUAGAGACAUUUCCUGCUGACAUCAGAAUCUGUGAUGCUGUGGUGACCUCUGUCUGAGCAGCAAGGACUUCUCUGUAACACAGAACUCAGCAGCCCAGGCUGAAGAAAAAGAAUGCAUAUGAUUAGAAUGGUCAGGUUUGGGGGUUUUGCUGAAUGUAGGGGACAGAAUGGCAAAAAGGAAGGGGUAAUGGGCAUAGAGAAG
ensembl:lncRNA